AGAGAAGUGCUAUCAGCUACUAAAAGUGAAUACUAAAUGGCCUAUCUAUGUAAGAGAUUCUCAGAGGGAAGCCCAAAGCCCAGGAAGAAAUGAUGGACCAGAAACCACAGGACAUGCUCGAAGACUCGCUGCAUGGUGGAUGGCCCAGAGACGGCGGGGCUCACAGACGGUCACGUUUAGUGCUUGCAGAUUGGUAAUGUCUGUGCCCUUGGCUUUGUUUAUUCUGGUCAUACAAUGAUCAACCAGUUCUCAGUGCUGCCAUCGAGGGCUUUCUGGACAGCAUGGCACCUUCCAUAAGGAGACCUUGGCUUCAGUAGCUAGUCCAGGGUCUAUAUACCUGCAGAGGACUUCUGACCUACAGCAAGUGGGCUCCCUUCUCAUCUUGAAAACCUUCCAGUGUGAACUCUAGAACCAAGGAAGACAGAGAAAGGGGACAAUGUCAGCAUCAUUGCAAGGGAGGAGAGUCUGUGAGAUGAUACCAACCUCUAGAAGCAGGCAUGGUUGUCCUGACAUCGCCACACUACCACAGGAACUUCCAGAAUACAUUCUCUUCAUGGAAACUGUGGAACCGCGCCCCCUCUGGUCCAGGAGGACUAACCAGAUUCAAGGCUAUCAGCAUCCCCCUUCAGGACAGUGGAAGCAGCCACCUUUUCGAGAGAGUCGAUGUGUUCUUCACCAGUGUUCUUCGCCAGUGAUCAUGUGUGAUACUUGGAGAGAGGCUGGCCGUGAUGAAUUCGAUUCAUCUAAACGAGUCAUACACGGCUCUCCUCUCUUCUAG
rnacentral:lncRNA from 1 species